AGUGAACGCUGGCGGUAGGCCUAACACAUGCAAGUCGAACGGCAGCACAGUAAGAGCUUGCUCUUACGGGUGGCGAGUGGCGGACGGGUGAGGAAUACAUCGGAAUCUACUUUUUCGUGGGGGAUAACGUAGGGAAACUUACGCUAAUACCGCAUACGACCUACGGGUGAAAGCAGGGGAUCUUCGGACCUUGCGCGAUUGAAUGAGCCGAUGUCGGAUUAGCUAGUUGGCGGGGUAAAGGCCCACCAAGGCGACGAUCCGUAGCUGGUCUGAGAGGAUGAUAAGCCACACUGGAACUGGGACACGGUCCAGACGCCUAAGGGAGGCAGCAGUGGGGAAUAUUGGACAAUGGGGGGAAGCCUGAUCCAGCCAUACCGCGUGGGUGAAGAAAGCCUUCCGGUUGGAAAGCCCUUUUGUUGGGAAAAAAAAGCAGCAGGUUAAUACCCCGCUGUUCUGACGGUACCCAAAGAAUAAGCACCGGCUAACUUCGUG
rnacentral:rRNA from 1 species